AACGAACGCUGGCGGCAUGCCUAACACAUGCGAGUCGAACGAGACCUUCGGGUCUAGUGGCGCACGGGUGCGUAACGCGUGGGAACCUGCCCUUAGGUUCGGAAUAACUCCCCGAAAGGGGUGCUAAUACCGGAUAAUGUCUUCGGACCAAAGAUUUAUCGCCUUUGGAUGGGCCCGCGUUGGGUUAGCUAGUUGGUAGGGUAAAAGCCUACCAAGGCGACGAUCCAUAGCUGGUCUGAGAGGAUGAUCAGCCACACUGGGACUGAGACACGGCCCAGACUCCUACGGGAGGCAGCAGUGGGGAAUAUUGGACAAUGGGCGAAAGCCUGAUCCAGCAAUGCCGCGUGAGUGAUGAAGGCCUUAGGGUUGUAAAGCUCUUUUACCCGGGAUGAUAAUGACAGUACCGGGAGAAUAAGCUCCGGCUAACUCCGU
rnacentral:rRNA from 1 species